rnacentral:rRNA from 1 species
GAUGAACGCUGGCGGCGUGCCUAAUACAUGCAAGUCGAGCGAACGGACGAGAAGCUUGCUUCUCUGAUGUUAGCGGCGGACGGGUGAGUAACACGUGGAUAACCUACCUAUAAGACUGGGAUAACUUCGGGAAACCGGAGCUAAUACCGGAUAAUAUUUUGAACCGCAUGGUUCAAAAGUGAAAGACGGUCUUGCUGUCACUUAUAGAUGGAUCCGCGCUGCAUUAGCUAGUUGGUAAGGUAACGGCUUACCAAGGCAACGAUGCAUAGCCGACCUGAGAGGGUGAUCGGCCACACUGGAACUGAGACACGGUCCAGACUCCUGCGGGAGGCAGCAGUAGGGAAUCUUCCGCAAUGGGCGAAAGCCUGACGGAGCAACGCCGCGUGAGUGAUGAAGGUCUUCGGAUCGUAAAACUCUGUUAUUAGGGAAGAACAUAUGUGUAAGUAACUGUGCACAUCUUGGCGGUACCUAAUCAGAAAGCCACGGCUAACUACGUG